AACCAGAGAAAGGAAGUGAGGAGCAGCAGAAGCCGACGAAGGCCACACAUCCUCGCCUGAAGCUCGCCACGCCGGCGAUGGCGUUCGCGGCCUCCACCGCGUCCAUGAUGAUGUCGUCUUCGUCGCCGCGGCAGUGCCACCAUGGCGCCGGAGUAGGCUGGAGUGGGCCGAGCCUGACUUCCGUCAUAUUGGGCCGAUCCAAGCAUAUGAAUUUUGAGCCCAGCAUGUAAAAUAUUGUU
rnacentral:snoRNA from 1 species